ACGUGUUACAACGUACCUACCGAAUGUAUUAUUGUAUAAAAUGGAUGAAUAUUAUAAUAGUAUUGAAGUGUGUUAAAUAACAAAUGUGUUAUUUGGUAGUUGUGUAAUUUGAAUAUGUUGAAGUAUAUAAGUUAUUAUAUAUUGAAUAAUCAAAUGAGCAGAUCUUGGUGGUAGUAACAUAAUAAUUUGUAUUUAUAGAGAUUAGGGUUGUCAUUAUGAUGACGUGAGACGGUGUUAUAAUAAAACGAAUAGUAUUAAUAUUUUAUUAUCUUAUUUAUUGAGUGGUGACACAAAUAUGGACUAUUAUUGUAAAAAGUUAUAAUAUAAAUGAGUUAUAAUUUGUAUAUGAUGUGAUAGUUGUUAUAAGAUCAUCAUUUGAAUAAUAAUAUGUUAAAAAAGAAAUAAAUAAACCGUACCUAUACCGCAUCAGGUGUCUCUGUUUUAUAACAAAUAUAUAUAAAGUAAUCUAAGUAAGGGAAUUCGGCAAAAUAGAUCUGUAACUUUGGGAUAAAGAUUGGCUCUAGCAUGCUAGAACUUUUUAUAUUAUGAGAGGAAUCUGACUGUUUAAUAAAAACAUAGCUUUAUGAUAAUGUAAAGUGAAUUCUGCCCAGUGUAUUUAUUAGUUAAAAUCGAAUAAGCAUAUAUAAACGGCGGGAGUAACUAUGACUCUCUUAAGGUAGCCAAAUGCCUCGUCAUUUAAUUGGUGACGCGCAUGAAUGGAGCAACGAGAUUCCUACUGUCCCUAUUUAGAGCUAUGUGAAGCAACGAGACAAGGGAACGGGCUUGUUAUUUAUCAGCGGGGAAAGAAGACCCUGUUGAGCUUUACUCUAGUAUAUUUCAAUUUGUAUAUAUUAUAUUGUAGAGAGGUGGGAGAUGUAAUGUGAAACCACUAAUAUUAAUAUUAUAUGAAUUUAUUGUAAUUAUAUGGGGAGUUUGGCUGGGGCGGUACAACUGUUAUAAAGAAACACAGUUGUCCUAAGAUACAAUUAAUUAGGAUAGAAACCUAAUGUUCAAUAUAAGGGUAUAAGUGUGUCUGAUGUAUAGAACAAUAGUUUUAUAUGAUGGGAAACCAUGGCCUAAAGAUCCUCCAAUAAUAAUUUUAUUUGAUUGGAGGUGACAGAAAAGUUACCACAGGGAUAACUGGCUUGUAGCAAAUGAGCGAUCAUAGCGACUUUGCUUUUUGAUUCUUCGAUGUCGUCUCUUCUGAUCAUCGUAGUGUAUAUGUUACGAAGUGUUGGAUUGUUCACCCGUUAAUGAGGAA
rnacentral:rRNA from 1 species